rnacentral:tRNA from 1 species
GCCCUUGUAGUAUAAAUCAGUACACUGGCCUUGUAAACCAAAAAUGGAGUACCCCCUCCCCAGGGCA